rnacentral:rRNA from 1 species
CCUACGGGCGGCAGCAGUGAGGAAUAUUGGUCAAUGGACGAGAGUCUGAACCAGCCAAGUAGCGUGAAGGAUGACUGCCCUAUGGGUUGUAAACUUCUUUUAUAUGGGAAUAAAAUGUUCCACGUGUGGGAUUUUGUAUGUACCAUAUGAAUAAGGAUCGGCUAACUCCGUGCCAGCAGCCGCGGUAAUACGGAGGAUCCGAGCGUUAUCCGGAUUUAUUGGGUUUAAAGGGAGCGUAGGUGGAUUGUUAAGUCAGUUGUGAAAGUUUGCGGCUCAACCGUAAAAUUGCAGUUGAUACUGGCAGUCUUGAGUACAGUAGAGGUAGGCGGAAUUCGUGGUGUAGCGGUGAAAUGCUUAGAUAUCACGAAGAACUCCGAUUGCGAAGGCAGUUCACUGGACUGCAACUGACACUGAGGCUCGAAAGUGUGGGUAUCAAACAGGAUUAGAUACCCGAGUAGUC